UACAGAGGUGCCAAGCGUUGUUCGGAUUUAUUGGGCGUAAAGCGUGCGUAGGUGGUUUGUUAAGUCUGUUGUGAAAGCCCCGGGCUCAACCUGGGAAUGGCAAUGGAUACUGGCAGGCUAGAGUGCGGUAGAGGGUAGUGGAAUUCCCGGUGUAGCGGUGAAAUGCGUAGAGAUCGGGAGGAACACCAGUGGCGAAGGCGGCUACCUGGACCAGCACUGACACUGAGGCACGAAAGCGUGGGGAGCAAACAGG
rnacentral:rRNA from 1 species